UAUGCCUAUAUGACUGUUUAUUUAGUUGUGAGUUGAUUGAUUAGGAAAUAAGUGCUUUUCAAGUUGACAGUAUAAAUAAUGAAACUUUAUUAGUGAUAUAUGUGACACAUUUAACAAUGCUAAUUUUCUGUACUGCUCUGUGUAAUUCACUUGCCUUUUUCAGUGGGCUGUAAACAAUAGGAGUUUUGAGGGAAAUCGCUAAUUUGUUGGCUUUUUAAAAGGCAACAGAAAGGAAUCCAAAAUUUACAAAUAUUUCCAGAGUGCCACCUAGUGGGAAAAGAAUUGAAGCCGCAAGAAAAUUGGACUCAAAUACAGCUUUGGCAGUCCUGAGGGUGUUCAAAGAAACCCAAAUUCUGCUCUCUGCAGAGCUGCUAGCUCUGCAAGGCCUGAGCCAGGUGUGAUGGGAGUCAAUGCUACAAACUCACCAAGUUUCUCUUGCCUAAAAGUGCCUGGGAGGAAAUAUUGUCAAUGUGGAACCUAAAUACAGUGUGUUUUGUCCAUGUGUCAUACAACACUGAUCUUGUCAAGUUGCUGAUCAAGGUGUGAAGGCUGACAGACUGUGGUCUUGAAGAAGCAGGAACUCAAAUUAUAUGCCCCUGAAAAAGAGAAAUUUGUAAUUCUCACUUUGUGACAAACAAUUCCUCGAAAAUCCUCUGGUGUUUGACUGAAAGUAUAUGAUGGUCUCUUCAUAGUAAGAAAACAUCCUAAAUCAUGUCUGGAGAUGUCUCCAAAUGAUUAGCUGUGGGUAUUUUUACUCAACUCAAGCCUAGUUUUAUUGCACUCAUGGGAAUAACUUAUACAAGCAGAACAACAUGUGUGCUCUUGAGUUAUCUUUUUCUUUUUUUUUUUGCUAAUAUCUUUAAAAUAUUUUUGUAACAUUUUAAAAUAUACAACCAGCACAAACUA